GGGGGUGAGGCACUGGGUGCACAACCCUCGGCGGGCCUCAGAACUCCUCCGAAGCUGCUUCCAGGAGCGAAACUAGUUGUGUUACUUAAAAGGAAAAAAAAAUUGGGAAAGAUAACGCACAUGCUUCAAGAGAGGCAGGAGGUUUUUAUCUGCUAACAAUUUUACCACUGAAAGGAAGAAGACUGAGACGGACUGAGAUGGAAGAUUACAUCAAAGUACUACAAAUAUGGUAUGUGGAUUGGAAUGCCGGAACUAAGGGGGGGGAAACGACUUUUUAUUUCUUUUGCUCUAUGUGAUUAUUAAUAACCCUCCCCCUGAAGAUCUGUCUCAGAAAUUAAUUGCAAAUGGGACUAAAAAUGAAUUGUGUGGGAAUAAUUAUGAACUUAAAGGUUUUACUCUGUGAAGGAUUUGGAAAGAAGAAGGGCUCUCUCUUGUGACGCAGUAAGAAUGGAAACUUGAUAAGAGACCUGUGUUGCUGGAGUUGGUCUUGGGGAGAGCGAGCCGAAGAUAUAUUAUUUUCGAGGAGAUUGUGAACUGGAAGAGGCAGCCCUCCUGCAAAAAGACUAAUUUACGAUGCAACAGGUCGGAAAAGCUAAAGAGCGAGUUUCUAGACUGUAUUUCAUCGGAACGACAAAAAUGGCGAUUACUCGCUCGAGCGGAAAGGACUGUUGGAGGAGAGUGAUUUACGAAAGAGCAGCACAAAGCCCACACAGAAAUACAAAUAAGACUGUCUUUUUCAACCCACUUGCGGAGCAUAUCGGAGGAAAAUGGAAAGGAAAAUGAGUAAUGACAAGUAUUGAGAAGAGGAAACUGGAAACAUCAUUCUUAAUAUGGAAGCAGAACAAAUAUUCGAGGAUUGGACUCCUGCCAAUCAAGAAGCAUGGGUACCCCCCACAAAAAUUUAUAAUUUGGAAAACAAUUGGAUUAUAUGAUAUGUAUUGUUAUAAUUUGGACUAAUUGAUUUGAUGUGUUUAAUUUGGAAAUAUGAAAUUUAAUAAAAA